UGGCUAUCAUUGUUUUCCUGCUCUGCCGGAAGAAUGACCAGCCCUGCAGAAGGGCCCCAGACACCCCGCUUCCUCCUCAGGACCCUGAUAAGAGGGAAGAGACCCUCGCCCUGCGCUGUUCGGAGGAGACCUGAUGCCAACUGGGGCUUGCAAGCCAUGCCAUGACAGUCUAGGCACUGGACCACUUUGUUAUGUGCUGUGUGCAGGGGGUGGCAGAUGUACAGAAUUUGUACCAUAAUAUAUGUAUGUGUAUAUAUAUGUGUGUCUGUGUGCGUGUUUGUAUGUAUAUAUGUAGGUAUGGGUGUUUGCGUGCGCAUGUGUGUGUAUGUAUCUGGGUCUGAAAGUUCCUGGGCUUGGAAUUGGGGCGCCUGCCUCUCCCGCCUUUGCCCCCACUUCUGCUGUUUGUCCGACUCUCUCUCGCUGGCUUUGUGCGGAGAAAGGCAAACCACUGUCUCCUCCUUUGGAGGAUUUGUUUUAGCAGAGGCUGGCCCUCUGUCCCAAGAAGAGCUUGGACUGGGUCUUCCUGCAUGGCAGAAGGGGCUGGAGGGAUGGCCCUCCUGGGGUCCCUUCCAACUCUGUGUUUCUAUGAUGCUAUUUAUAUCAAAAGAUGACAAAACACUCCCUGCCUUUGUGAGAUUGGUGACUGCGGGUGCCAUGCCUCCAGAGCAUCUUUGAUGCUCUUGAGACAUAUACGUAGUUGAGAUGAUAUUAGCUUUUCUAUGUAUUAGUUUAGAAGGGGAAAUAGAGAUCUACAGCUUUAAGAAAGGCAAGGAUUGUGGGACAUCCCAGGGUCUCUUACUGUCUCUCUCCAGCUAGUUUCUGUUGUGUAGUAAGGUUUCAGCCAAGAGUAUUUUCCUUUGACAAAGAGAAGUCCUCAGAAGAAGAAAGGUAAAACCCACCAAGUAGAAAGAGCAAGGUAUUUAGGAAAAAAGGAGAUCACUUUCGUGUUUGUUGUCUUUAUAACCAGUAAAGCUUUUGGAAACUUAA